CAGUCUUGAGUGGAGUGCACAGCAAGAGAAGGUGUAUAGGUUGAGCCACUUUCCAAAAAUCAUUAACUCUUCUAGUAAGAGCUUAUAGGUUAUUAGUUUCCAUGAAGCUCCAAGUAUCCAUUACAGUUUAUGCCAUACAGAACCUACAAUAAGCCUCAGAAUUAGAGUGGACCUCGCCAUGGUUUUAUUCUCCUUUUAGGAAAUAGCUCUUGAUUAACAAGUGAGCCCUGAUAGAAAUAGAACAUCUGACCAUGGGAGCCAAGCUGCCAUUGAUGGUUGAUAUGUCUUUCGCUGACCCAUCAAUUGACCAACCAACAAGAUUCCAUCUUCAAGGAAGAAUACGAAGACUGGGUCUGAGCAGAUUGCCAUAUAGAGGAAAAGUUUCGGACUUGGAUGCAGUUGUUGAUGGAAACAUUUUGUGCUCCUCUUUGGGAAGAAGGUAAGUCCAGGACCCAUUACCCCAGAGUUAGUUAGAUAACAGCAUAUUUGGGGAAUAUAAGAGUAAGAAUUAUGUAUAUGAGUAUUUAUAGUUCAAAAUAAUGAAGUGCAGAAUUUAUUUGUAUUUUUUUUUUUGUGAGAGCCUCAACUACCUUUUUACUUGUAACAAUUCCCAACUACAAAAAUUUGGAGAAACAGAAAGCUCUGCCUUCUACUCUAAAAGCUAAAUGGGGCCAGAACUCGGUCUCCUGAGCUACUGUAAACUGGUAUGCUGGACUGUGGCCAUGUCUCAAUUAACCAGAGGAUGCUAUGUUAACUUUGGAUCUUGUAUGAAUGACAUAAAGUCUUAGGACAUUUCAGAGAUGAGGUCCAGCAAGGUGUCAGUGUCCCUGGAAUAAUGGACUACCUAAGUGACACACACCCAUCACAGAAUCCCCUUCAGACUGUUCCUGUGGUUGUAAAGAUGGGUGCUUGGCCUUACUUGGUUUCUUUCCAUAUUCUGACCCUGGUUCCCCAGGUUUCCUUUGCUGAUUCUUUGAGUUACUUUCCAUCACUACAUUAAGUUUACUUGCUAAUCCACCAAAGUCAGUCUUGUUUGUUACUAAUCCUUCUAAAUAAAGAUAUGGUAUGUAAUAUAAUCA
rnacentral:lncRNA from 12 species